rnacentral:rRNA from 1 species
AUGUUCCUGAUGCUUGCAGUGAGAUUUUUUUUUGUUCAUGCCUGUAGAUUUUUGCCGGAUGCGUUCAUGCUAAACUCAAGAUGGCAAACUCUUCAUGUGAAUAGAAAACAGUAUCCAUCAAUGGCGACCUCCUCUCUUGCUCCGCCUGAGGUGCCCAUGGAGCUGCAUGCAGGCAACCGUGACCGCCUCUUAACCGCACUGCACGCCCACCUCUCCGCCGCCGCUAGCCCUCCCCGCGGCCUUGCCCUCCUCCAGGGCGGUGAGGAGCAGACACGACACUGCACUGAUCAUCUCGAGCUGUUUAGGCAGGAGAGCUACUUUGCUUAUCUCUUCGGAGUGCGUGAGCCAGGGUUCUACGGCGCUAUAGACAUUGCCUCUGGACAAUCGAUUUUGUUUGCUCCAAGGUUGCCACCUGACUAUGCUGUCUGGAUGGGUGAAAUAAAACCACUCCCUUAUUUUAAGGAUAGGUACAAGGUCGAUUUGGUCUUCUAUGUCGAUGAGAUUGUGCAGGUUCUGCAAGAUCGAUUCAGUCAGCAUGGGAAGCCUGUGUUGUUUCUCUUGUAUGGAAAGAGUACUGACAGCGGAAAUUACUCAAAGCCUGCUAGUUUUGAAGGGAUAGAGAAGUUUGACACCGAUUUGAGUACACUCCACCCUAUCUUAACUGAAUGCCGUGUUAUCAAAUCUGGAAUGGAGCUUGCCCUCAUUCAAUAUGCCAAUGAUGUUAGCUCAGAAGCACACAUUGAGGUUAUGAGACAGGCAAAACCAGGCAUGAAGGAAUAUCAGUUAGAAAGCAUAUUUCUUCAUCAUUCUUAUAGGUAUGGAGCCUGUCGACAUUGCUCCUACACAUGCAUAUGCGCUACCGGAGAGAACAGGAAUUGUGAUACAAGUAUCAACAUCAUAACAACAAAUCACCAUCUAGUGCCUGUUGUAGUGUUAUCCACUGUUUCCAUUUGUUCUAUUCUUCAUUAUGGACAUACGGCUGCUCCAAAUGACCGGACGCUGAAUGAUGGAGACAUGGCUCUAAUGGACAUGGGAGCUGAAUAUAAUUUCUAUGGCUCUGACAUCACAUGUUCAUACCCCAUAAAUGGGAAGUUCAACAGCAACCAGGCAAUAGUAUACAAUGCUGUCCUUAAGGCUCAUAAUGCUGUCAUAUCACACAUGCAGCCUGGAUUAAAAUGGGUUGAUAUGCACAAGCUGGCCGAGCAGACAAUACUUGAAUCUCUCAAGAAUGAAAAGAUUAUCCAUGGUGAUAUUGCUGAUAUGAUGGCUCGAAGGUUGGGUGCUGUUUUCAUGCCUCAUGGUCUUGGGCACUUGCUUGGAAUUGACACCCAUGAUCCCGGAGGCUACCCUGAGGGCUUAGAGAGACCAAAGGAGCCAGGACUGAGCUCCUUGCGGACCAUAAGAGAACUUAAAGAAGGCAUGGUUAUUACGGUUGAGCCAGGCUGUUAUUUCAUCGAUGCUUUGCUGAGGCCUGCCAGGGAUGAUCCAAUUUCCUCAAAAUUCUUCAACUGGGAAGAGAUUGAGAAGUACAAAAGUUUUGGUGGUGUUCGUAUUGAAAGUGAUCUGUAUGUGACGGCACAAGGAUGCAAGAACCUGACAAACUGCCCCCGGGAGACCUGGGAAAUCGAAGCGGUAAUGGCUGGCGCGCCAUGGCCUCCACGUGCUUCCGUGACAAAAGCAGAGAACGGACUACCCAAAGCCUGA